UGAGUACGAGCGGCUACGGCCGCGAAGUGGAUGAUGUCAGGCUUCCAAGAAAAGCCCUAUACCCGUUAAGGCAUGAUGGCCUGUACCCGAAACCGACACAGGUGGGGUGGUAGAGAAUACCGAGGGGCGCGAGGUAACUCUCUCUAAGGAACUCGGCAAAAUGGCCCCGUAACUUCGGGAGAAGGGGUGCCACCGCGAGGUGGUCGCAGUGAAGAGGCCCAGGCGACUGUUUACCAAAAACACAGGUCUCCGCUAAGUCGCAAGACGAUGUAUGGGGGCUGACGCCUGCCCAGUGCCGGAAGGUUAAGGAAGCUGGUCAGCGCAAGCGAAGCUGGCGACUGAAGCCCCGGUGAACGGCGGCCGUAACUAUAACGGUCCUAAGGUAGCGAAAUUCCUUGUCGGGUAAGUUCCGACCCGCACGAAAGGCGUAACGAUCUGGGCGCUGUCUCGGAGAGAGGCUCGGCGAAAUAGAAUUGUCUGUGAAGAUGCGGACUACGUGCACCCGGACAGAAAGACCCUAUGAAGCUUUACUGUAGCUUGGUAUUGUGCUCGGGCUCGGAAUGCGCAGGAUAGGUGGGAGGCUUUGAUCCAUUGCUUGCGGGUGAUGGUGAGCCACUGGUGAGAUACCACUCUUUCCGAGCUAGAGUUCUAACAGCAACCCGUUAUCCGGGUGCUGGACAGUAUCAGGUGGGCAGUUUGACUGGGGCGGUCGCCUCCUAAAAGGUAACGGAGGCGCGCAAAGGUCUGCUCAGGCUGGUUGGAAAUCAGCCGACGAGUGUAAAAGCAGAAGCAGGCUUGACUGUGAGACCUACAAGUCGAACAGGGAGGAAACUCGGCUUUAGUGAUCCGACGGUUCUGCGUGGAAGGGCCGUCGCUCAACGGAUAAAAGUUGCUCUAAGGAUAACAGGCUGAUCUCCCCCAAGAGUUCACAUCGACGGGGAGGUUUGGCACCUCGAUGUCGGCUCAUCGCAACCUGGGGCUGAAGUCGGUCCCAAGGGUUGGGCUGUUCGCCCAUUAAAGCGGUACGCGAGCUGGGUUCAGAACGUCGUGAGACAGUUCGGUCCAUAUCCGGUGCACGCGCAGGAAUAUUGAGAGGAUUUCUCCCUAGUACGAGAGGACCGGGAGGAACGCACCUCUGGUGUGCCAGUUAUCGUGCCAACGGUAAACGCUGGGUAGCCAUGUGCGGAGUGGAUAACCGCUGAAAGCAUCUAAGUGGGAAGCCCACCUCAAGAUGAGUAUUCCCAUGGCAUAAGCCAGUAAGGUCACGGGAAGAACACCCGUUGAUAGGCUCUACGUGGAAGCGCAGUAAUGUGUGAAGCGGAGGAGUACUAAUAGACCGAGGGCU
rnacentral:rRNA from 1 species